rnacentral:tRNA from 1 species
GCGAAUUUUCGGCGAAUGUCGUACUUCACUGAUCGAUUCCAGGCUGUUGUCGAGAGACAGAUUGCUUGGGGU